ACCUGGAUAGCUCAGCUGGCUAGAGCGUGGAGCUAUUACUGUAAUGCCAGGGUUGCAGGUUCAAUCCCCGUAUGGGACA